UGCCAUACCAUGCUGAAAGCACCUGUUCUCGUCUGAUCACCGCAGUUAAGCAGCAUCAGGUGCGGUCAGUACUUGGGAGGGUGACCACC